rnacentral:tRNA from 2 species
GGCGGCGUAGCUCAGCAGGUAGAGCAGGGGACUCAUAAGCCCUGUGUCGGGGGUUCAAAGCCCUCCGCCGCCACCA